rnacentral:lncRNA from 1 species
UCGAAAUCAUACUGCAGCAGUAACUGUCCCGCAUCAAGGGCGAAUAUGAGACACAAGAAUUCCGGCAGAUGCAAACAGAAGUGAUGGAUUUAUUGAGGAUUACAUCAAAUAAUCCAGGAGCUGUGAAUCAGUAAACAAAAAUGGAUAAAGUCGAAACCAAAGAAGAAGAUUCUGAAAUAAUCUCGAAAAGUGUACGCGUUUUCUGAAAGAAAUUAAUAAAGAGUGUUGAUUACA